UAAAAAGUGAGAAUUUUCCGAAAAUUUGGCUAUGACUUCGCGUCUUUGGAUUUUUCACAACGGAACAGAACAUCUACGAUCUUCUAAGCAUUGAGAGCACGGCCUUUUCAAUAGAACAAGGCCAGCCUAUCUGACGCAAUUGUCUGUGAAAACGUAUCAAACAAACGCGACCCUUCCAGGACAGUUGUAUUGAGAUUAUUUGCCGGCGACGAGUCUUCUACAACGCACGUGCUAGGCCUAAGAACGGGGGAACAUCCGGGGUCAAACAAUCGCGGCCCUUCCAGGACAGUUGUAUUGAGAUUAUUUCCCGCGACGAGCCUUCUACAACGCACGUGCUAGGCCUAAGAACGGGGAACAUCCGGGUCUAUCCAAAAGUCGAUAGCUGUAGUAACCCCACAGCUCAGACCAGUUUUACAAACUACGGGUAAGUUACACCAUGAAAAUAUGUAUGUUGUAAAUCUUUCAUUAACCUUAUAUGAUAUUUUAAGUAUUUAAUUAUCCAUUAUUUUGUAUGUGUGACAUGUUCAGAAGACACCGGAACAACGUAUGACUCCGAUAGUUCAGAUUUUUUUUGGGUAAGGUCGUUAGCAUUCUCUUUUCAAUCAACCCUUAAGAGUGUAAAACAAUCCUCCACACAUUUUUCUGUAAUCUGUAUUCUAUUUAGAUACCGUCAUUGAAGGAGUAAGAAACUACAAUCAACCCCCUUGAAGAAAAUUCCAACAUUGGAGACACUCUCUUCAGGAUUUUUUCAGCUAAGGGAUAGAAUAACUGAAAACUUUGAGCA